rnacentral:rRNA from 1 species
GGCGAACGCUGGCGGCACGCUUAACACAUGCAAGUCGAACGAGAGAAGAGAAGCUUGCUUUUCUGAUCUAGUGGCGGACGGGUGAGUAACACGUGAGCAAUCUGCCUUUCAGAGGGGGAUACCGAUUGGAAACGAUCGUUAAUACCGCAUAACAUAAUUGAACCGCAUGAUUUGAUUAUCAAAGAUUUAUCGCUGAAAGAUGAGCUCGCGUCUGAUUAGCUAGUUGGUAAGGUAACGGCUUACCAAGGCGACGAUCAGUAGCCGGACUGAGAGGUUGAUCGGCCACAUUGGGACUGAGACACUGCCCAGACUCCUACGGGAGGCAGCAGUGGGGAAUAUUGCACAAUGGAGGAAACUCUGAUGCAGCGAUGCCGCGUGAGGGAAGAAGGUUUUAGGAUUGUAAACCUCUGUCUUCAGGGACGAAAAAAGACGGUACCUGAGGAGGAAGCUCCGGCUAACUACGUG